GAGUAAAAGGAAAAUUAAAAACAUUUCCAAAGCAGGGGCUGGAGAAAGGUGAUAUUAAAAUAAACACUGACUUAAAUCCAAUCGACCAGUUGCAUUUUUCUGUUGGACAAGACAACCGCCAGCCCCUGCUUGGGCGGGUCUCAGACCCAAAUCUGAGGAGUUUAGACCCUCUCACCAUGCAGACGGACAGAAGCAGACAACAAGUUUCACAAGUGCCUGAGAGGGAAGAGAUGUCUUCAUCCACUUCCCCCGAGCCAGAACCCUCCUCACUCCAAAGGUA